rnacentral:misc_RNA from 1 species
GAAAUGCGAUAAUUAAUGUGAAUUGCAGAAUUCAGUGAAUCAUCGAGUCUUUGAACGCACAUUGCGCCCCCUGGUAUACCGGGGGGCAUGCCUGUCCGAGCGUCAUUGCUGCCCUCAAGCACGGCUUGUGUGUUGGGCUUCCGUCCCUGGCAACGGGGACGGGCCCAAAAGGCAGUGGCGGCACCAUGUCUGGUCCUCGAGCGUAUGGGGCUUUGUCACCCGCUCCCGUAGGUCCAGCUGGCAGCUAGCCUCGCAACCAAUCUUUUUAACCAGGUUGACCUCGGAUCAGGUAGGGAUACCCGCUGAACUUAAGC